AAAAAAAUUUGUAAUUUUUUUUAUUUGAACUUUUCCUUAAAACUACUGCCUUACAGUAUAAUUGGAUUUCAAUGGAUUUUAAAAGGAAUGCAGAGGGGGAAUUCAGAGCGAAAUAUAAGAAAAUUCCGUUCUGAAAGAGGUCUUAAGAGAAAAUGCAUCUCCGACGAGGAAUUAGAGUUGGCGGUUUCACGAGCAGUGGUAGAGACUGGGCCAUAUUACGGGCGUAAAAUGAUGACGGGCUACCUUGCUGCACAAGGUGUUAAUGCAUCAGAGGUCAGAGUGGGACAGACAUUGGCACAAAUGCAUGAACCUUAUCACCGGGCUCGAUGCCAGGUAGAGUUGGAUGGGAUAAUACAUUGCUUAUCAAGUUAAACACAUCAUCAUGUCUUUGCAUGUAAAUAAUUAUACAUUGUGGAAUCAUACAUCAGUGUCUAUUUGGUCAUCAGCCUUUAUACGUAUAGAUAAUACCUGAGUGUGGUGUUGCAAAUUUUUGCUGUUUCCAUUGCAUUCUGUUGUAAGGGGGAACAAAAACUAUUACUAAAAACUAACUAGUGCAGAAUGUUAAAAAGUCUUACUACUUUCAUACUUUCUAAAAGAACUGUAUGUAACCUAAUUAAAUUUUAUUUCAGGGAGCACGGAAUUUGAAUCCGGUCCCAUAUAAUGCAGAGUAUGUGGGUCACAAACUCCAUAUGGACCAAAAUGAAAAGCUUUGCAUGUUUGGUGUCACACAUGUUAUUGCGGUUGAUGGCUUCAGCAAGAAAAUUGUUGGCCAUUCCACUAUGCCAAUAAAGAAUAAUUUAACCAUUUAUGAAGAGGUGUA
ensembl:lncRNA